rnacentral:lncRNA from 1 species
UAAUCUUCUUAUUAAUCUCAAUUCACAACUUCUCACCUCUCUCUCUCUCUCUCUCUCUCUCUUUCUCUCUCUCUGUGUUGUCUUCAAGCCACCCUCAUCUCUCUCUCUUUUCUCUCUUUCUCUCUUUCUCUCUCUCUUAACCUUCCAACCAUUUUUUUUCUUCUCUAUCUUUCUCUCUCAUCAACAGACCGACCUUUCUUUUCCUUCUUAUCAUCAUCGGUAGGUUUUUGUCUGGUCUUCUCUCUCUUAAAACAGAGUGAAAAAGAAGAAAUCAGAAUCAAUUUUUUUUAGAGAGAGAGAAGAUAAUAACGAAGUUUUUUCUGGGUUUUCUUCAACGUUUCUUCUUAUUCUAAUUUGGGUUUUCUUCAGAUUGAUCGUUGAUCGCUUCUAUAGAUCCUUCAAGGUGUGUUUUUUAUUCAGAUUUUGUGAUUUUUAUGUAGUUUUUUGUAUUUUUAAUAGAAUAUUAAUGAAGAAAUUGAGUUAAAUUUAGCUAAAUUAGGAUUUUUUUUGUUGUUGAUGAUGAUGUUGUUUGAUAUAGAACCGUGACACGGUGGAGACCGACGUUAGAAAUGCAAUAAAAUUUAACAUAUAUGCUUGGAAUAGUUUCCACAAGAAGCACUACUGCCUUAUGCCUUAGCCAUAGGAUCAUAGUUAACCACAAGAAGGAUUAAGGUUCAGCAUUUAAACAAAAAAAAAAAAAAAAAUCCCACAUGUCAACAGUUACAAUAGUUAACACAUACUAGUCAAGCAUCCUGAAGAAAUAUUUGUUCAACAAAACCUAACAAUACACAAGUCAUGUGAUGGGUUUCAAGCUUGAAUCUAAUGCAAAAUCAGCUACAGCAGAGGUUACAUUUAAUACAAAGGCCAGCAACAGUAACCAGCGACUGACUUACAAUAGACGUUGCCUCUUCUUUGGAAGAUUUUCAAAGACCUGAUGUACAUCAACAGUUGUAAUUGGCUUUGAUGAGUCAAUAUUCUCCUGUAUAGAACACUAUAUAGCAUUGUUAGGAACAUAAUUACAAAAAUGUAAACCAACGACUACAACAACAAAAGGCUUCCCCUCUGUAACUUGGCUCGCUACACAAACACAAAAGAAGAAGCCUACCCAACCCAACAUAGAAGAUCAAAAUUAUAAAGAACAUACUAAGAAGGACCUAAACUUACAUUGUGGCUUCACUGUUAGGAUUACUUUUUCUCCCUUCUUCAUUGUCUUUACUGCUUUUGAUAGUGCAUGAUAAAAAUGAUCUGGUUCAAAGAAACAAAAGAAAAGAAAAUACUCAAUAGAAAAUAAGAGCACUCAGAAAAUUAGCCUAAGAACGGAAGGACUUGCCUUUUCUUUUUGGCAGUCAGUUGGUUAAAUUCUUGAAUCUGAUCACAAUCAAGCUCAGAUGAUUCCAACAUCUCCAUGUCUUUCGAAUUUGCACGUAGCCUUGAACAACAACUACUAACUUUGUCAAAUGCCUAAAAUAUCACAUUCAAUUAGAUAAAUUCAAAAAAUUAGAAACACCAUCAACUGAUAGAAAUUGAUAUUAAAAAAAAAAUCUGAAAAUUGAAAUUUAAUAAAUAAAUAAAAGGAAAUAAAAAAGAAAACCCCAAAUCUAAAUUCAAAAAAUUAGAAACACCAUCAACUGAUAGAAAUUGAUAUUAAAAAAAAUUCUGAAAAUUGAACUUUAAUAAUUAAAUGAAAGGAAAUAAAAAAAGAAAAACCCAAAUCGGUUGUUGAUAGUGAAGCACAACAAAUUGAAGAAAUGGAACUAGUGAAACUUACAAAUGGUAUUCAAUGAUUCAGUCAAUCUAUUUGAUUUUAAGUAAAAACCCAAAAAUCUCAAAUUUCAAGGAUUGAAUGAAAAAAAUCCCCAACAAUUUCUAAUUCAACUAAACCCCAAUUCAACCAUAACAGAAAACAAAAACCCUUUUUAAAUAGAAACAAAUUGGGGAAAAAAGCCAUACCUUCCUUUUUCUUCUUCUUUGUUCUUCGUCUUACUACGUCAUUUGGCAGUGGAAGGAGAGAGAGAGAUGGUAAUAUGAUUAUCUGUGUCUUACUACGUCAUUUGGCAGUGGAAGGAGAGAGAGAGAUGGUAAUCAGAUUAUCUGUGAGUUUGAAGAGAGAAGAGAAGAGAAAGAGAGGAUAGAUGAAGAGAAUAGAAAUAAAAGAAAAGAGUCUUUCUUAUGAUGUAGAGAUGGCGAUCUGACUAUCUGUGAGCUGAAGGGAGAACAGAAGAAAAGGGGAGAUAGAAGAAGAGAAUAGAGAAAACGAAGGAGACAAAAAAAAAAUUAAAAAAAAGGAAAAAAGUCGGACAUACAAAAUAAAAUGAAAAAGAGUCGGGGACAGACACGACUUUAAGUACCACUCGACCCUUAAGGGACCUCCUA